UUUCCGUAGGUGAACCUGCGGAAGGAUCAUUAAAGAGAAUAUGCCCUUCGGGGUAGAUCUCCCACCCUUUGUUUAUAUUACCUUUGUUGCUUUGGCGGGCCGUUAGGCUCCGGCCCGACUACCGGCCCCGGCUGGUAAGCGCCCGCCAGAGGACCCAAAACCCUGAAUAUUAGUGUCGUCUGAGUACUAUAUAAUAGUUAAAACUUUCAACAACGGAUCUCUUGGUUCUG
rnacentral:misc_RNA from 1 species